rnacentral:piRNA from 1 species
UGAAAUUGCUUAGUCUUCUUCCGAGGAGCC